GUUCUGGUCUAUUUCCAGUUUUCAGCGAUUUUUCUAUAAAAACCUGUAUUUUACCCCAAAAAUAUCGUUUUUCCGCACUUCAGAUUUUGCAAGACUUUUGAUAUGUGAUAGAGGCCAUAUUAACCUUUAAAAUGAGACCAAAUUUCUUUCUGUUGCAAUUUGUUUAAGGUUGAGCUAUUUUUGGGGUAGAAUGACUGGACUAUAUAUAUG
rnacentral:lncRNA from 1 species